rnacentral:rRNA from 1 species
GACGUAGGGCGCGAGCGUUGUCCGGAUUUAUUGGGCGUAAAGAGCUCGUAGGCGGUCUGUUGCGUCCGCUGUGAAAACUCGGGGCUUAACCCCGAGCCUGCAGUGGAUACGGGCAGACUAGAGGUAGGUAGGGGAGAAUGGAAUUCCCGGUGUAGCGGUGAAAUGCGUAGAUAUAGGAAGGAACACCAGUGGCGAAGGCAGGUCUCUGGGCCAUUACUGACACUGAGAAGCGAAAGCAUGGGGAGCGAACAGG